GGAUCACCGAUUUGCGUCCUCCAUGGGCUCCAAAAAGAUCUAGUUCAUCAAUGGCCUCAAGUGCUGCCUACAAAAAUAGGUCCAAGUUUGUCACAUUUCACCUACCUGCCUCAUCAUACACUGGAGAAGACCUCGCAUCAGCUUCACUACGUUCUGUAGAAAUAAGAUAGCAUCAGUAACAAGGCGUAGGUUUCUUGCUUCAACAAAACCAAUUAUUCCUACAUGGCCAAUAAGCCAGUGUUGUCUGGCAAUGUUCCACAAAAGACAGAUCCCAACUCUACAUAAAUAUUCUGAUUGUUCACAUUAUUGAGACUUUUCUACCCCAUCACAAAAUAAGUAUUUUAACAAAAUGAUUUAUCUCAAAUAAAAGGGUUGGAUCAGA
ensembl:antisense Gm15243 predicted gene 15243